ensembl:lncRNA
UUCACCCAAAUAUGAGAAUUUAAUUAUUAUACUAAACCUAUAUGCUGUUUGUUUUUUGUAUUUUUGGGUUGGUACCAGUAUAUAUUUGUUCAAAUAAUUGUACUUCAUAGAACUGUGAGGCUCAAAAAAAAGUAUAUGAAUAUCCACAUCGGUUUCUUAAAAGUAAACAAAAUAAAAUAAAUAGCUUUAACCAGCUUAAGCUGGUUCUCUAGUCUCCUAGACUGGCCAGUUGGCUGGUUUUAGAGUGGUUUGGGGCAGCUUGUGAGACUAGGAAAUCAGAUAGAAUAUCUGGAAACCAGCUUGGCCAGCCUGGAAGACCUUCUUAAAACAGCAAACACAUUUUGGCUAACCAAAAUCAUUAUUCAUAAUCUUGCUACCCAAAGCUUAUGUCUGGCUGACGUUCAUAAUUCAGUAGAUAGAUAGAUUUUUACCUCAUACUAUAUAAUUCAGUGUAAUUGCAGCCUCAUUAUGGCCUCUGGGUUUUAGGGUGACAUGAAGCACUGCGCUGCUCUCAAAGGGCAGAUGGAGUGGCAGAGGGCACACACCUCAGGGCAUGACCGAUCUAGGACACUGUCCCUGUGCUGCCACUCACCUGGGAGGCGUGCUGCUCAGUGAUAAUGGCAGUGGGAGAGCCAGAAGCAGCUAUCCGCCUCUAGUGAUGCUGAAAUGGGAUUUGGGCUGUGCUCGGGCGGAGGAGGUUAUUAUGGAUCAGGGGGGCCUGGUUUUGAAACAGAGCUAAACUGGGCUGUGGUACGACUAGAACCGCUGGGAUGUCUGUUAGCUUUCCUCGCUAACAAUGGCAGAUAAGACAAAAGUGGUUGUUUGCCAUCUCUCUCUUACACACCGGCCCAUUAAAGGUGUGCUGUUAUCUGAUAAGCCGUGAGGGGUGUGAUCACUUACACACAUAAACACACAAAUACACACCUGCUGUCCCUCAUUCAGUGCUCACUUAUGACCUCAAACCCGUCUCACUCGGUCCACAGUGUCCCUACACUGAAAGAGAGAGAAACUGUUUUGUGGCUCUGUGAUUUUUCUGUUGUUUUGUUCUCGUUCAAGUGCCCUCCUAGCUUAUUUUCCUUUAUUCUUAUCAUUCCAUCUGGCUGCUAGUCACACAUUAAUCUAAAUUCUAAACAGGGUUCCUCCAGUGGUGUUAUCAACUCGUCGUUGAUGUGAGCGUUGGCCCAGGAGAGGGGACGCGGGCAAAGGGGGGAAAAACAACACACAGCACAACAAAUUGAUGUGGAUGGGGGAGUGAGUGAGUGAGAGACAGAGAGAGAGAGAGAGAAAGAGAGAGAGAGAGAGAGCUUGUAUGCAUGCUUGACUAUUGCACCAAGCUGCAUCAUGACUUCAGUACAGGUGUGAGACUUAAUCAGAGGUAUAAAAAUUGUCUCAGAAGACUGAAUGUAUAUUCACAUUGAAUGUAAUUUGCAGUGCUGUGUAACCCACUGCAAGUUUGUCUAUUAAUACAACAUUGUUUACAGAUCAAAUGAUUUUACCUAAAAGUAAACAUAAGUAAACAGUUUCACAAUAUAUUGUAAUAUUACUGAAGCUUAAA